rnacentral:rRNA from 1 species
AGCGAACGCUGGCGGCAGGCUUAACACAUGCAAGUCGAGCGGACCUUUCGGGGUCAGCGGCGGACGGGUGAGUAACGCGUGGGAACGUGCCUUCCGGUUCGGAAUAACCCUGGGAAACUAGGGCUAAUACCGGAUACGCCCUUAUGGGGAAAGGUUUACUGCCGGAAGAUCGGCCCGCGUCUGAUUAGCUAGUUGGUGGGGUAACGGCCUACCAAGGCGACGAUCAGUAGCUGGUCUGAGAGGAUGAUCAGCCACACUGGGACUGAGACACGGCCCAGACUCCUACGGGAGGCAGCAGUGGGGAAUAGUGGACAAUGGGCGCAGGCCUGAUCCAGCCAUGCCGCGUGAGUGAUGAAGGCCUUAGGGUUGUAAAGCUCUUUUAUCCGGGACGAUAAUGACGGUACCGGAGGAAUAAGCCCCGGCUAACUUCGUG